GAUGAACGCUGGCGGCGUGCUUAACACAUGCAAGUCGAACGGAAAGGCCCAAGCUUGCUUGGGUACUCGAGUGGCGAACGGGUGAGUAACACGUGGGUGAUCUGCCCUGCACUUCGGGAUAAGCCUGGGAAACUGGGUCUAAUACCGGAUAGGACGAUGGUUUGGAUGCCAUUGUGGAAAGUUUUUUCGGUGUGGGAUGAGCUCGCGGCCUAUCAGCUUGUUGGUGGGGUAAUGGCCUACCAAGGCGUCGACGGGUAGCCGGCCUGAGAGGGUGUACGGCCACAUUGGGACUGAGAUACGGCCCAGACUCCUACGGGAGGCAGCAGUGGGGAAUAUUGCACAAUGGGCGCAAGCCUGAUGCAGCGACGCCGCGUGGGGGAGGACGGCCUUCGGGUUGUAAACUCCUUUCGCUAGGGACGAAGCGUUUUGUGACGGUACCUGGAGAAGAAGCACCGGCUAACUACGUG
rnacentral:rRNA from 1 species